GACGAACGCUGGCGGCGUGCUUAACACAUGCAAGUCGAACGAUGAGACUCUUCGGAGUGGAUUAGUGGCGAACGGGUGAGUAACACGUGGGCAAUCUGCCCUGUACUUUGGGAUAAGCCUUGGAAACGGGGUCUAAUACCGGAUAUCACUUCUCUGGGCAUCCAGGGUUGUUGAAAGUUCUGGCGGUACAGGAUGAGCCCGCGGCCUAUCAGCUUGUUGGUGGGGUAAUGGCCACCAAGGCGACGACGGGUAGCCGGCCUGAGAGGGUGACCGGCCACACUGGGACUGAGACACGGCCCAGACUCCUACGGGAGGCAGCAGUGGGGAAUCUUGCGCAAUGGGCGAAAGCCUGGCGCAGCGACGCCGCGUGAGGGAUGACGGCCU
rnacentral:rRNA from 1 species